rnacentral:rRNA from 1 species
UACAGAGGUCCCGAGCGUUGUUCGGAUUCACUGGGCGUAAAGGGUGCGUAGGCGGCGCGGUAAGUCGGAUGUGAAAUCUCGGGGCUUAACUCCGAAACUGCAUUCGAUACUGCCGUGCUUGAGGACUGGAGAGGAGACUGGAAUUUACGGUGUAGCGGUGAAAUGCGUAGAUAUCGUAAGGAAGACCAGUGGCGAAGGCGGGUCUCUGGACAGUUCCUGACGCUGAGGCACGAAGGUCAGGGGGAGCAAAACGGGG